rfam:Corallococcus sp. CAG:1435 genomic scaffold, scf301
AAAAAACCCACACCGUAGCCAAAGACAGCAAGUGCAAAGGUAAAUCUUGCCGAGGUACAACAGUAGGUUAGUCGUAAGACCUCACCCUUGUACCGAAGUUUGCAGUGCAAGGGUUUUUUGAUAUUGAA